GAUGAACGCUAGCGGCAGGCCUAACACAUGCAAGUCGAGGGGUAGAGUUAGCUUGCUAACUUGAGACCGGCGCACGGGUGCGUAACGCGUAUGCAAUCUGCCUUGUACUGAGGGAUAGCCCAGAGAAAUUUGGAUUAAUACCUCAUAGCAUUAUGAAAUCGCAUGGUUUUAUAAUUAAAGUUCCAACGGUACAAGAUGAGCAUGCGUCCCAUUAGUUAGUUGGUAAGGUAACGGCUUACCAAGACAAUGAUGGGUAGGGGUCCUGAGAGGGAGAUCCCCCACACAGGUACUGAGACACGGACCAGACUCCUACGGGAGGCAGCAGUGAGGAAUAUUGGUCAAUGGGCGCAAGCCUGAACCAGCCAUGCCGCGUGCAGGAUGACGGUCCUAUGGAUUGUAAACUGCUUUUGUACGGGAAGAAACACUCCUACGUGUAGGAACUUGACGGUACCGUAAGAAUAAGCACCGGCUAACUCUGUGCCAGCCGCCGCCGUAAAAC
rnacentral:rRNA from 1 species